UAGAGAACAAGGCAGAGGGGAAACUAAACCAUGAACAUGGCAGAGUAUCAAUGGGGGUUGCCACACACCACCACAGCUGAGAUAUUAGAGAAACGGAUGCAUUCUGACCAGCUGCCCAGUCCUCUGUAAGUUUGACUGUGGAGUACUUGAGGUUACACCCUGCCCUCCUUUAUUCCCCUUACAACACAUCCUCACUAACUAAAACACAAGAGUAGGGCUUUUUCCACUUUCUGACAAAAGACAUUGAAACCUUAGGUAAAUAAUUCAUUUACUAAAAUGAAAUAUCUAUUUUGUGGGUUGGUGCUCCCACAGGUUCUGUGAAGACUAUAAAUAUGAAAAUCUGCAAUCACGGCUUUCAAGGGGCUCAUUUGUUUAAAGAUAUCAGUCCAUAGUGUGUUGAUGAAGGGAGGGAAGGUCUAAAAGCAGGCACCAUGGAACCAAAUUGCCUGAGUUCAAA
rnacentral:lncRNA from 10 species